UAAGGAAUAUUGGUCAAUGGACGCAAGUCUGAACCAGCCAUGCCGCGUGAAGGAUGAAGGUCCUCUGGAUUGUAAACUUCUUUUAUCUGACGAAAACGGGAUUUUUAUCUCAAUUGACGGUACCAGAGGAAUAAGCACCGGCUAACUCCGUGCCAGCAGCCGCGGUCAUACGGAGGGUGCGAGCGUUAUCCGGAUUUACUAGGUUUAACGGGUGCGUAGGUGGGCUUAUAAGUCAGUGGUGAAAUCCCCGAGCUUAACUUGGAAACUGCCGUUGAUACUAUAGGUCUUGAAUUAUCUGGAGGUAAGCGGAAUAUGUCAUGUAGCGGUGAAAUGCUUAGAUAUGACAUAGAACACCAAUUGCGAAGGCAGCUUACUACAUAUAAAUUGACGCUGAGGCACGAAAGCGUGGGGAUCAAACA
rnacentral:rRNA from 1 species